rnacentral:misc_RNA from 1 species
GCCAUACUUUGUCACGCGGCAAGUAUUUCCGUGUCCUGUAGGCAACAGUCUAUAAUCUAUAAACCCAUUGCUCAUUCGCUGGUUACAUCCCGCCAAAAUAACGGUCACAUUCGCAUAUAAAUUACUGAUUUUCGUUACGCAUGUACCAACCAGGCGUCCAUCUCGCAAUGGUGCAACCUCAUGGUCUUCACAUUUUCGUUGAAGCAGCGAGUGGUUAGGAGCGCAUCGGAUUUAAGUAAUAGAUACAACUUGGUGUUUUAUCUCCAACCCAAUCCAAUGAAUCUAACACAAUCGACAAAUUUGCGUCGUGAUGAGGAAUCAAGAUCUACACGUAACGAAGAUGACCGUUUACUUAUGCGAUUGAGGAGCAAAGAGGAAAAGUCAAGGCGUAGACGAGAAUGGAGGCAUCAACAAGAAUUGGAAAGACAACAUGAAAAAUUAAAACGACAAAUGAUAAUUAACUAUGAGAAAAAACGCGCAGAAGCUAUGAAAUUCAAGCAACCAUCUUCACAUCAUAGUCGAAGCAAAAGCAGCAGUAAGUCGCCAUCGUAUCAUCGACACAGAGAAAGAUCCCCAUCGGAAGCUCCCAAAUCUAACACUAUAUUCAAAACAUUAGAUCGGUCCGCAAGUGGGGCAGUACCUUUAUUCAAGGGUCCUGAGGGCACACAGAUUAGUACUGCAGAAUUACGUCGUAUUAAAGUUGACAUUCGUAGGAAUAUUCCUGCAAAAGGACAAGUUACCGAACUACAACGGGAUAUACUUAAUCCCGAGGAUGUGAUCCUCAAGAGAAGAGAGGGAGAAGGAUCUAAGCCAAUAUUCGAGAGGGAUGAAAUAAAGGUAAUUGGUGAAGUGGAGGAACGACGUACGGUUGUAGCCAUAGAUAGCGAACAAUCAGUUCCAGCAGGCAAAAUACGAAUUUCUAAAAGACGUUCGUCAUCGUUGAGCCCUAUUAGGAAUCGCAGUUACAGUCCUGGGUACUUAUCUCCUUAUCACACCAGAUAUCGAAGUGCUGAGUCAAAGGAUCAUGAUAAAAGGAUAGAAUAUACCGACUAUCAUAAAAGAGACGGACAUAAUAAUAUACAGAAACAUGAGAACUAUAAAAAGAAAUAUACGGAUAGAGAUGUAAAAAGGCAUGACAGUACUCGUUCAAGUUCUAGAGAACGGGAUACAAACAAUUCCCAUUCUAGAGAAUACAUCUUAUCGCAGCAGCCGAUAUCGAGAUAGAUCAGACGAACGAUCUCGAGAAAGAAGAGAUAGAGACAGAGAUAGGGAUAGGGAUAGAGAUCGAGAUCGAGAAAGAGAUAGAAAUAGGGGCCGAUCCAGAGAUAGGAGAGAUCCAGCACCACAUUAUGUUGAACACGUACCAGUGCCUAUUUAUUAUGGUAAUUUCCCUCCGAGACCAUACAUGGUAAGUCCCAUGGUCACAAUUCCUAGGGGACAGGUUCCUCCUCUAGGAAGAGGUCGGCAUCCCCCUUUAAUGGGACCAGUAAGACCAUUCCCACCACGAUUUGUUCCGCCUGAUAUAUAUAGAAUGGGACCUCCAGCUCCAAAUCCGA